rnacentral:lncRNA from 1 species
UAGAUCUACCAGGGGAUUAAUCGAUGCUGCAGUUUAUUUCAGUGGGGGAAAUGAGAAGAGAAAUAAAAGACCCAUGUAAACAUAGUUGACCUCCUGAUACGCAGGAAGGCGUGGUGAAAAACUCUACUGAGAUUCGUGGUCUUCAAAAUGUGGCACGAGCUAGUAAAAAAGUUUCGAGUAAUGUGUGUGUACUGAUGUGAAGUGAAGCAACAUACUAUCACGGCUUGCUGCUGUCUUGCCCUAUGGGUAAAAAAUCUAUCCCGGCUUGCUGGUUCGGCUAUGACGGUGUCAGGCCCAGCCUUGAUCAUCCCCUGUUCCAGUGUGCCAGAAGUGCUUCAGUUCGUUGAUCGUCCAUCUAACGGCUCACCUGCCUGCGUACCGGUUCGUUAGCUGAAACGAUCUCCAGGCGUUCAUUGUUGAUCUAACGGCUGCGAUGGAUCGCUGUAGCUUUUCCGACAAGCCAUGUGCUCUGUUCACUUUCUGUUCUUCUUUUUCAGUCGUGUAAUGGCUAUAAAGCCACCCAUUCCCCUAAUUCUGAACCAUGUUGAAUUGUAUCGGGUGUAAACCCUAGCCGCCGGUGGCGUGCUGAACCUACUUUCCUCAUUUCUCAAGCAAGAACCCUAGUUUUGCGUCUCUGAA